CGAAAGAAAAAAUUCUGAUUUCUUGAAAUUCUGCAUAGGUCUUAGAUUCUUCUAGGCUUGCAGGAUCACCUACAAAUGUUGCAUCGGGUCCUUUAUUUCAAUGUAUCGUCAAGUUCAUUGGACAUACCCAGUUCCCACUCUCUAGGAAAUCUGGAUCUAAUUCAACAUAAGGUUUAGACAGUGAGAGCUAGGACCAGGAUUGCUCUCAACCAUCAGGCACCCUCAUGCUGAGGAAAAUCACCGUUGAAAGAUGUAAUAGAGGAAGUUAUAAAAAUUAACUGCUAAACUAUAAUUACGUGCUGAUAAAUGUUGAUGAUAAUUAAGAAAUGAUGUGUUUUGAUCGAUGUUGUCAAAUGAAUGGGAUAGUGUAGUGUCAUAAUUAAUGAGAAUGGUAACCUGAGACUUUGCAUGAAGGGGCAAAUCAUGUUUGGAGAAUGAAACCUUCAGAUUACUUAAGUGAAGUCAGUUUCCACUCCACUUGUAGGCAAGCACUGCUCUUUAAUUUGGAAGUGAUUGUCAUCCUUAAGAAGGGAGAUCAAUGCGCUUUGGUGUACAUGAUGGUAUGAUCCGUUUUAUUUAUUUCUUAUGUGACAUCAAGACUUCUUUCCCUCAGUUUUCUUUGUUUAGAUCUUACUUCAUUCUGUAGCCAUACAAUAUCAUUUAUUAUACUGUUGUACUCAUAUGAACAAUCCUUAGCUGACUCUUUGUUCCAAAAGCUUGGCAGUGGCCACUUUCACAUUAUAUCUGCAGUGCUUAGUUAACUACAGGUUAUGUAAAUUGUUGAUUCUAGCAUGAACAUGGAGUAUGCAAAAUUUGAACUUUUUAUCGUGUUGCAUGGUGAGGGUUCCAUACCACAGGAGGAAAU
rnacentral:lncRNA from 1 species